AUGGCACAGUGGAUGGAACACUGGUUUUGGAAUCAGGAAGAAUCAUCUACAUGAGUUCAAAUAUGGUCUUAAACACUUACCAGCUGCCUGACUCGUGAUGGCUCUUUUCAUCACAAGACUAUUGGAACUGGUCUGAAUUACCUUGCUGUUAAAUAAAGCCAUAUCUAUCA